rnacentral:tRNA from 3 species
GGAGUAGUACUCAAGAGGCUGAAGAGGUGCCCCUGCUAAGGGUAUAGAGUGGGAAACUGCUGCGAGGGUUCAAAUCCCUCCUACUCCGCCA